rnacentral:rRNA from 1 species
AAGUCGAGCGGACAGAAGGGAGCUUGCUCCCGGAUGUUAGCGGCGGACGGGUGAGUAACACGUGGGUAACCUGCCUGUAAGACUGGGAUAACUCCGGGAAACCGGAGCUAAUACCGGAUAGUUCCUUGAACCGCAUGGUUCAAGGAUGAAAGACGGUUUCGGCUGUCACUUACAGAUGGACCCGCGGCGCAUUAGCUAGUUGGUGGGGUAAUGGCUCACCAAGGCGACGAUGCGUAGCCGACCUGAGAGGGUGAUCGGCCACACUGGGACUGAGACACGGCCCAGACUCCUACGGGAGGCAGCAGUAGGGAAUCUUCCGCAAUGGACGAAAGUCUGACGGAGCAACGCCGCGUGAGUGAUGAAGGUUUUCGGAUCGUAAAGCUCUGUUGUUAGGGAAGAACAAGUGCGAGAGUAACUGCUCGCACCUUGACGGUACCUAACCAGAAAGCCACGGCUAACUACGUGCCAGCAGCCGCGGUAAUACGUAGGUGGCAAGCGUUGUCCGGAAUUAUUGGGCGUAAAGGGCUCGCAGGCGGUUUCUUAAGUCUGAUGUGAAAGCCCCCGGCUCAACCGGGGAGGGUCAUUGGAAACUGGGAAACUUGAGUGCAGAAGAGGAGAGUGGAAUUCCACGUGUAGCGGUGAAAUGCGUAGAGAUGUGGAGGAACACCAGUGGCGAAGGCGACUCUCUGGUCUGUAACUGACGCUGAGGAGCGAAAGCGUGGGGAGCGAACAGGAUUAGAUACCCUGGUAGUCCACGCCGUAAACGAUGAGUGCUAAGUGUUAGGGGGUUUCCGCCCCUUAGUGCUGCAGCUAACGCAUUAAGCACUCCGCCUGGGGAGUACGGUCGCAAGACUGAAACUCAAAGGAAUUGACGGGGGCCCGCACAAGCGGUGGAGCAUGUGGUUUAAUUCGAAGCAACGCGAAGAACCUUACCAGGUCUUGACAUCCUCUGACAACCCUAGAGAUAGGGCUUUCCCUUCGGGGACAGAGUGACAGGUGGUGCAUGGUUGUCGUCAGCUCGUGUCGUGAGAUGUUGGGUUAAGUCCCGCAACGAGCGCAACCCUUGAUCUUAGUUGCCAGCAUUCAGUUGGGCACUCUAAGGUGACUGCCGGUGACAAACCGGAGGAAGUGGGGGAUGACGUCAAAUCAUCAUGCCCCUUAUGACCUGGGCUACACCNUNCCUUACAUGGACAGAACAAAGGGCUGCAAGACCGAAGGGUUAGCCAAUCCCAAAAAUCUGUU